rnacentral:rRNA from 1 species
GAAUGCUGACAUAAGUAACGAUAAAGCGGGUGAAAAGCCCGCUCGCCGGAAGACCAAGGGUUCCUGUCCAACGUUAAUCGGGGCAGGGUGAGUCGACCCCUAAGGCGAGGCCGAAAGGCGUAGUCGAUGGGAAACGGGUUAAUAUUCCCGUACUUGGUGUUACUGCGAAGGGGGGACGGAGAAGGCUAUGUUGGCCGGGCGACGGUUGUCCCGGUUUAAGCGUGUAGGUGUGUGUUCCAGGUAAAUCCGGUUCACUUUAACACUGAGGCGUGACGACGAGGCACUACGGUGCUGAAGCAACAAAUGCCCUGCUUCCAGGAAAAGCCUCUAAGCAUCAGGUAACAUCAAAUCGUACCCCAAACCGACACAGGUGGUCAGGUAGAGAAUACCAAGGCGCUUGAGAGAACUCGGGUGAAGGAACUAGGCAAAAUGGUGCCGUAACUUCGGGAGAAGGCACGCUGACACGUAGGUGAAGUGAUUUACUCAUGGAGCUGAAGUCAGUCGAAGAUACCAGCUGGCUGCAACUGUUUAUUAAAAACACAGCACUGUGCAAACACGAAAGUGGACGUAUACGGUGUGACGCCUGCCCGGUGCCGGAAGGUUAAUUGAUGGGGUCAGCGCAAGCGAAGCUCCUGAUCGAAGCCCCGGUAAACGGCGGCCGUAACUAUAACGGUCCUAAGGUAGCGAAAUUCCUUGUCGGGUAAGUUCCGACCUGCACGAAUGGCGUAAUGAUGGCCAGGCUGUCUCCACCCGAGACUCAGUGAAAUUGAACUCGCUGUGAAGAUGCAGUGUACCCGCGGCAAGACGGAAAGACCCCGUGAACCUUUACUAUAGCUUGACACUGAACAUUGAGCCUUGAUGUGUAGGAUAGGUGGGAGGCUUUGAAGUGUGGACGCCAGUCUGCAUGGAGCCGACCUUGAAAUACCACCCUUUAAUGUUUGAUGUUCUAACGUGGACCCGUUACCCGGGUUGCGGACAGUGUCUGGUGGGUAGUUUGACUGGGGCGGUCUCCUCCUAAAGAGUAACGGAGGAGCACGAAGGUUGGCUAAUCCUGGUCGGACAUCAGGAGGUUAGUGCAAUGGCAUAAGCCAGCUUGACUGCGAGCGUGACGGCGCGAGCAGGUGCGAAAGCAGGUCAUAGUGAUCCGGUGGUUCUGAAUGGAAGGGCCAUCGCUCAACGGAUAAAAGGUACUCCGGGGAUAACAGGCUGAUACCGCCCAAGAGUUCAUAUCGACGGCGGUGUUUGGCACCUCGAUGUCGGCUCAUCACAUCCUGGGGCUGAAGUAGGUCCCAAGGGUAUGGCUGUUCGCCAUUUAAAGUGGUACGCGAGCUGGGUUUAGAACGUCGUGAGACAGUUCGGUCCCUAUCUGCCGUGGGCGCUGGAGAACUGAGGGGGGCUGCUCCUAGUACGAGAGGACCGGAGUGGACGCAUCACUGGUGUUCGGGUUGUCAUGCCAAUGGCACUGCCCGGUAGCUAAAUGCGGAAGAGAUAAGUGCUGAAAGCAUCUAAGCACGAAACUUGCCCCGAGAUGAGUUCUCCCUGAGACUUAGAGUCUCCUGAAGGAAC